rnacentral:rRNA from 1 species
UACGAAGGGGACUAGCGUUGUUCGGAAUCACUGGGCGUAAAGCGCACGUAGGCGGAUGUGUCAGUCAGGGGUGAAAUCCCGGGGCUCAACCUCGGAACUGCCUUUGAUACAGCACGUCUCGAGUCCGGAAGAGGUGGGUGGAAUUCCUAGUGUAGAGGUGAAAUUCGUAGAUAUUAGGAAGAACACCGGUGGCGAAGGCGGCUCACUGGCCCGGUACUGACGCUGAGGUGCGAAAGCGUGGGGAGCGAACGGG